UGUCUUCUUAACUUCUCCCAUGCGAUUCUUCUAAUUUUGUUUUUCUUAUAAUCAGGUGUAAUCUAUCAAUUUCAUACAUAGAUCCGUUCAUAAAUCUUCAAAAUCCCUGAGUUUUGAAGAAAUUGGAAUCGACUCAAAUUUCUAAUCCACCUCACGGAGAGAUUGGAGAAAUUUUUUCUUUUUACAACUCUGAAGAUCGCUCUAUACAUCUUCAUCUUCUACCUAACCACCUUGAUUGAAGAUACAUAUAUAUUAGCUUGGAAUGGUGAAAGUGGUGGUGGAUUGAUGGCAAAGACGAUAGUGGAGAAGAAUCAUCAUCGAAAAGGUGAAGAAACCCAGGGUGGAGAAGAGUUAUUGCAAAAAAAUUCUAGCUCAAGGGAGCUUCCUGGGGUUGAAGGGAUACAAAGUUUCCGGAGAAGAAAGAAAAGCUCUGUGAUUUCGAGUUGCAGCAACAGUAACAACGCUGCUGUUGGGAAAGAGGAAGGUGUGCUUGAAGCAUUAGUAUAGCACUGCAGCUUACAUGUUCUACUCAUGAAGGUGUCAGGUAAUUUUAUUAUACUUCUGCCAGGUAGUACUUCUACAAAAAUUAUGAGAAUGUUAUAAUGCCAUAGUCAAAUAUGGUCUUGUAAUGCGCCUCAUCACCUGGUGUUGAUAAAUACAUCAAAUCUUUUGUUUAUUUUGUCUAUAGUUUGACUCAGUUACUUAGUAGACUUUGUUGUAUAAUAUCUUUCAUUUGUACUUCAAUUGCAUUAGGUUUUCAUAUUCCAAAAGGUUUGUAAUCAUCUGAUAGUGAAGUUCUUAAUGAAUUGGGGCGAUAUUUGCGUUGGGCUUGAUUCCUCUCUGAGUACUUUAGUUGUUGUAACUUAAAAACUUGCGUAGCUUCAGCUUCUCCACUUUAGAGUAUAGUCUAGAACUUGUUUACCGCUUUAACAGGUAGGAAGCUGCUGGUGCUUUGUGGAACUUAUCAUUUGACCACAGGAAUCGUGAAGCUAUUGCUGCAACAGGAGGUGUCGAGGCACUGGCAGUUCGUGGAGGAGGGAAGGUUGUUUGGAAUGGCCUUUAUAAUGGAUUGGAUGGAGAUAUUGCUUUGUAGUGAAUCAUGCUCAUAACUCCUGGUCCAUAAGUAUCAGUUGUCAUAUCCUUAGAUCAGACCCGAAUCAAGGCUUUUCUGGUUCUCAUGCUGAAAUCACUGAUAGCAUUAUGAAGCUAUGUGUUGGUGACAUAUCACUUGGAGAUGUUUUUCACGGAGAUAUGAUGGAAUGGCCCGUAAUUAGUGCACGUCGAAGUUAAAUCAAACUGUUUUUUCCUUCAUUGUUGUUUAAAAUGUGAAUGAAAUAUGUAGCUUCUCUUUAUCGAAACCAAGGAUGGUUAUUGUCAAGUUGUAAAUUAAAUUUUAGCUGAUUUUAAUACAAAGGGUCCAUUUGUUGACCAAAUUCUGUAUGA